rnacentral:rRNA from 1 species
GGCUUAUUGAAGGUUAAUAAUAAUAAGUUUGGCCUGCCCGGUGAAUAAUUUAACGGCUGCAGUAUUCUGACUGUACGAAGGUAGCAUAAUAAUUUGUCUUAUAAUUGAAGAAUGGAAUGAAUGGCUUGACAAAGGUGUAGCUGUCUCUUAUAUAUUAUUUAGAAAUUAAUUUUCAGGUUAAAAGGCUUGGAUAAGACUAAAGGACGAGAAGACCCUAUUGAGCUUUAUAAUGAGUUUAUUAUUAAUUAAUUAUUGUAAGGGGUGGUUAAAAUUAUCGAGUUUUAGUUGGGGCGACUGAGGAACAUUGAGCUUCCUUACGGAACAAAGAAAGUUGUUUAGUGAUCCAAAAUUUUUUGAAUAAAGAUCAAGCUACCAUAGGGAUAACAGCGUUAUUUCUUCUGAGAGUUCUAAUCGAAAAAGGAGAUUGCGACCUCGAUGUUGGAUUAAAAGAUAAUAAGGGUUGUAGGAGCUCUUAUGAUUAGUCUGUUCGACUAUUAAAAUUUU